AGAGUUUGAUCCUGGCUCAGAUUGAACGCUUGGCGGCAGAUGCCUAAUUACCUGUCAUGAGUCGAGCAGGUACGAUCGACGUAAGACUUGCUUCUCUUGAGAGCGGCGGACGGGUGAGUAAUGCCUAGGAAUCUGCCUGGUAGUGGGGGAUAACGCUCGGAAACGGACGCUAAUACCGCAUACGUCCUACGGGAGAAAGCAGGGGACCUUCGGGCCUUGCGCUAUCAGAUGAGCCUAGGUCGGAUUAGCUAGUUGGUGAGGUAAUGGCUCACCAAGGCGACGAUCCGUAACUGGUCUGAGAGGAUGAUCAGUCACACUGGAACUGAGACACGGUCCAGACUCCUACGGGAGGCAGCAGUGGGGAAUAUUGGACAAUGGGCGAAAGCCUGAUCCAGCCAUGCCGCGUGUGUGAAGAAGGUCUUCGGAUUGUAAAGCACUUUAAGUUGGGAGGAAGGGCAUUAACCUAAUACGUUGGUGUCUUGACGUUACCGACAGAAUAAGCACCGGCUAACUCUGUGCCAGCAGCCGCGGUAAUACAGAGGGUGCAAGCGUUAAUCGGAAUUACUGGGCGUAAAGCGCGCGUAGGUGGUUCGUUAAGUUGGAUGUGAAAUCCCCGGGCUCAACCUGGGAACUGCAUUCAAAACUGACGAGCUAGAGUAUGGUAGAGGGUGGUGGAAUUUCCUGUGUAGCGGUGAAAUGCGUAGAUAUAGGAAGGAACACCGGUGGCGAAGGCGACCACCUGGACUGAUACUGACACUGAGGUGCGAAAGCGUGGGGAGCAAACAGGAUUAGAUACCCUGGUAGUCCACUGCCGUCACUAACGAUGUCAACUUAGCCGUAUGGCACGAGCCAUUGAGCUCUGUAGUGGCGCAGCUAACGCAUAUUAAGUUGAUCCG
rnacentral:rRNA from 1 species